rnacentral:rRNA from 1 species
AUUGAACGCUGGCGGCAUGCUUUACACAUGCAAGUCGAACGGUAACAGGCCGCAAGGUGCUGACGAGUGGCGAACGGGUGAGUAAUGCAUCGGAACGUGCCCAGUCGUGGGGGAUAACUGCUCGAAAGAGCAGCUAAUACCGCAUACGAUCUAUGGAUGAAAGCGGGGGACCGUAAGGCCUCGCGCGAUUGGAGCGGCCGAUGUCAGAUUAGGUAGGUGGUGGGGUAAAGGCUCACCAAGCCAACGAUCUGUAGCUGGUCUGAGAGGACGACCAGCCACACUGGGACUGAGCAACGGCCCAGACUCCUACGGGAGGCAGCAGUGGGGAAUUUUGGACAAUGGGGGCAACCCUGAUCCAGCAAUGCCGCGUGCAGGAAGAAGGCCUUCGGGUUGUAAACUGCUUUUGUACGGAACGAAACGGUCUGGGUUAAUACCCUGGGCUAAUGACGGUACCGUAAGAAUAAGCACCGGCUAACUACGUGCCAGCCGCCGCAGUAAGAC